rnacentral:tRNA from 1 species
UUAAUUGAAACCAAAAAGAGGUAUAUCACUGUUAAUGAUAAAACUGAAUGACAAUCCAAUUAAA